AUGCGGUGGUGGUGGUGGCAGCUCUGGAUCGUGGCCCUCUUUCCCCUGCCAGCCCUACAAGCCGAGGAAGCCAGCGAUCCCUCCAAAGGUGGCCCUAAAAGACAUCUCAACCAGACGGGAGAUGGGGCCCUUCCCACGACGACAGCAUCGUGGGGGAAUCGGGCCAGCAGGACGUGGCCAACCCGAAAGACAGGCGAUGGGUGGGCGACGGAAACCACGUGGCUUUAUGCCCCCGAGGAGAGCAGCAGCCCCAGCACGGAAAAUAUAACCAGAAGGCUGCUCCGACCGACCAUCGCCGUUUCCUCGGUGAAUGGGACCUGCAACAUUACCUUGCACUGCGCCGUGACAGGUGGAGGAGGAGGCGGCGACGUGAACUUCACCUGGUUCCGCGGGGAGCGGGCCGAGGCGGUCCUCUCCUCGGAGGCCACCCUGCGGAUCACCCAGAGGCCUCCGGACGGGUCGCUGGAUUACACCUGCGCCGUCCGGACCAAGGAGAGCCAGAGCGCCAGCACAAUUUCUCUGGCGGAUCGCUGCCACGAGACUCCAGGCUUCUCGGCUGGCAGUUACGUGAAAUACUUAAUCCCGCUCGUGGUCGCGCUUGUCAUUUUGCUCAUCCUGUUCGGCAUGUACCGACGGAAAAAAGGACAAAUAGGGCGCCACAGUGGGACCGUUUCCAUCAAUGAACCCUCAGGCUUUCACGCCAGUCCCCGAAGAGACCCUACAAAUCACGAAAGCCUUAACCAGCUGCAGAGACAUGGAAAUCCUAGAGGCGCCGGAUCAACCCCCGAGCCAGGAAUAAAUCUCGCUUCCCGGAUCAGGUCCUCUCGGGUUUCUGGAUCACGAAGAGAUCUCCGUUGCCGGAUGGGUGCGAGUUCUGAUCCAACACCUCCAAAAAUGUGGUUAGGGGGAAAAAAGUGCACCCACAUCUUAGGGGGAAAACCCUCAUGUCUCCAAUCCAUUCCAAGCUCCGAAAGGUGCCACAAAAAUCGACCCUUCCCUAAACCACGUUUUCUUCAUGUGGUGCAGCAGAACACUUUAAAAAUGGAUCUUCAAGCAAAACAGGCUAUAGCUGUAGCAGGGAGGGCAAAUGGGGUGAAUCAAAUAAAACCAAUUAUUUAAAAAUAAUAUAAAGAUGAAAUCCAGAUAUAUUUUUUUUCCGUCUUGAAGCAAGGGUAGCACCUCACACACCUUUCAUCCUGCAGGAAAUCCAGCUGUGCUUCCAAAAAAACAACAACCCAAAAAGACUCCAAUAAAUUGUUAUUUCUAGUCUUGUUAGGGGAGGGG
rnacentral:lncRNA from 1 species